rnacentral:rasiRNA from 1 species
GCCAAGACGACGCACCUCAGACUAA